CUUUCUCAAGAGAUAUUCUAAAAGCCUGCAGUAAUCCUCCCCUCACCAUGUCUGGGUCUGAAUCAGCAUCAGUCCUACAUUGCCGGUGGGGAAGGAGGAGCACGCUGCAAGAGCACUGCUGCUGAGAUUAAAACCUGAUGGAGGGUGUCUGAGCAAUGCAUGUGUGUAUAGAUGUACAGCAGGGAGUGGAGAUGCGGUAUGCUCUGGCAUAUGGAUGGCUAACAAACCAACAAAUUGAAAAGAAUGUGAAGUCCAUGAAGUGGACCUACAGCCUGCUUCACACUGCACUCUGUGGAGAUUUCCAGGCCACAAGAAAUUCAGAUUGUGAUCUAGCUGUAGACAUCACUGCUGGAAGUGCUACUACUGCUGUGUGCCCUUGAAAAGACAAUUAACCCCCACUAGCUCCAGUAGUACAGGUGAAACUGUACUUACUGACGUUGAUGUGUCCUGAAUCUCUGUGUGGUUACACUACAAUAAAACUCAGAUUCUUGUUGAAUCCCCCAUUAGGCUGUAAUAUAGUUGUUUUAUUAUUCCAGCAAAUUUUAGUGAAUGAUAUACUGUGUCACUUCUCUUUUAGUUGGUAUUAAUGUAACAUUACAUUUCACAGUAUUAUACACAUUUAUGUUGUCUUAAUGUUAUCAAAUUGAGGGUCUAAGGACAGAGGAUGUUGUA